GAAAGUGUAUAAAUAUUGUCCGACAUUAAAAGUUUAUUAUCCAGUUUUCUAGGUGAAAGUCAAGACGCUAACUUGACACACUCGUUUCGAAACGCAGCUGUUUAAAGUUUCAAGUAUCCAUCUACGAGUAUGAAUUUGAAAUCUAUUUUAUGUAUGUAUUUUCAAGAAGAAACGUAGUUGGUAUUUUGUGAACAUUAAACCACGGGAUAGAGCAGAAUCUUUUGAAAAUGCAGCUUAGAUUGGUUUUCGCAAUCGUCUUGCGUAUUAUAUUUACUUACGGACGGCGAAGUCGAUGGCAGCUUCAACGUUGGAACCUCUCUUAAGGUCACAAGGAAGCUUGCUGCAGCCCACGAUGUUGACAUUCUUGGGAGCCGGACCAUUCGCGCAGAGCUCGUGCGGCGACUGCAUGGAGUCGGCGAUGCAGAAAGCUGCGAUGACGAGAACUGCAAUCACCGGAGACAUUUCGUUUCGUUAUUACAGAACUACCGUACUCCCCUGAAAUAUCUUGGAGUUUUCAAAUUUAUUGGCAAUCCGAGGGUUCUAUGUGUUCCGUGCGCACUCUAGUUAAUAAACUAUGCGACAAAGUUUUUCGCAGUGCUGUGCGUGAAAAUUGCGGCAUCGAGAGAUCACUAAGAGGAAACGUAUUUUCAUUUAGUAUGCACGACAAAUUGUGCAAAUUGCUAAGCUUUAAGAAGACUAAAAAGUUGGUAGACUAGUUUAUAAAAAAAUCUGCGCUUUUAUAAACAUGUGCAGUAUAGUUGUUGCAGUCUUUGAGAAUAAUAUUUAAUAAUAAUAAUAUUUAAUAUAUUUGUUAUAUCUGAUGGUAAUGGUAAUUUUCAGUAAUAGUUACUUACCGUAGUGGAUGAAUGCCAUUUUACUGGUUGUUGCGACUUGGAGACAACUGAUAACUGCUCCAUCCAAACAGCCGGUAUUUAUUUCGUGGUGCUAUCUAAUCGAUUGGACGGGGGCAGUGGCAAUCGUCAUAAGAAAUAUUCAAAAACACUUGAAAUCGUACACCUGACACCGGCAGACAAUGAGCACCCGUUAGUUUACCGAUAAAGACUAAAUGGAAAGUCUUAAAAUAUCUCCAACGAAUUGAGCUCGAUAUUAGAUCGGAAAAAUCGUCGAUUUUCUUUGAUAAACAACAAUGUGUCAAGAGCCUCUCAAAUAGAUCCAACAGUCACAUUUUAUGUUAUCGAAGAAUCCACAUUAUUAGACAACGAUCGUAAUAUUGAAGAUUCAAUAAUUAUAUCUUAUUCUCUCAAUCCUUGGUCGAGAAUUUAUCAUGUUAAAAGGUGGGAACUCUAUGUUAAUAAAUAAUGAAC